rnacentral:rRNA from 1 species
GUGGAUUAGAUACCCUGGUAGUCCACGCUGUAAACUAUGGACGCUAGCCGUUGGGUAGCUUGCUAUUCAGUGGCGCAGCUAACGCAUUAAGCGUCCCGCCUGGGGAGUACGGCCGCAAGGUUGAAACUCAAAGGAAUUGACGGGGGCCCGCACAAGCGGUGGAGCAUGUGGUUUAAUUCGACGCAACGCGCAGAACCUUACCAGGGUUUGACAUCCUGUGCUCGCUGGUGAAAGCCAGUUUUCCAGCAAUGGACACAGAGACAGGUGCUGCACGGCUGUCGCCAGCU